GGGGACAUAGCUCAGUUGGCUAGAGCGCUUCCAUGGCAUGGAAGAGGUCAGGGGUUCAAGUCCCCUUGUCUCCA
rnacentral:tRNA from 1 species